rnacentral:rRNA from 1 species
AAUAGAUACCCCGGUAGUCCACGCCGUAAACGAUGGAUACUAGCUGUUCGUCCGCCUCGGCGGAUGAGUGGCUAAGCGAAAGUGAUAAGUAUCCCACCUGGGGAGUACGAACGCAAGUUUGAAACUCAAAGGAAUUGACGGGGGCCCGCACAAGCGGUGGAGCAUGUGGUUUAAUUCGAUGAUACGCGAGGAACCUUACCAAGGCUUAAAUGUAGAUUGACAGGACUGGAAACAGUUUUUUCUUCGGACAAUUUACAAGGUGCUGCAUGGUUGUCGUCAGCUCGUGCCGUGAGGUGUCAGGUUAAGUCCUAUAACGAGCGCAACCCCUGUUGUUAGUUGCCAGCGAGUGAUGUCGGGAACUCUAACAAGACUGCCAGUGUAAACUGUGAGGAAGGUGGGGAUGACGUCAAAUCAUCACGGCCCUUACGCCUUGGGCUACACACGUGCUACAAUGGCCGGUACAGAGAGCAGCCACUGCGCGAGCAGGAGCGAAUCUAUAAAACCGGUCACAGUUCGGAUCGGAGU